AGGGUGCUCCCUCCGUUCGGAAUUACUUGUCUCGAAAAUGGAUGUAUCUAGAAUUAAAAUACAUCUAGAUACAUCCAUUUCCGCGACAAGUAAUUCCGACAGAGGGAGUACAUG
rfam:Triticum aestivum genome assembly, contig: Triticum_aestivum_CS42_TGACv1_scaffold_019644_1AS